GACGAACGCUGGCGGCGCGCCUAACACAUGCAAGUCGAACGAGCGAGAGGAGGUUUACUUUCUCAAGCGAGUGGCGAACGGGUGAGUAACGCGUGAGGAACCUGCCUCAAAGAGGGGGACAACAGUUGGAAACGACUGCUAAUACCGCAUAAGCCCACGACCCGGCAUCGGGUAGAGGGAAAAGGAGCAAUCCGCUUUGAGAUGGCCUCGCGUCCGAUUAGCUAGUUGGUGAGGUAAUGGCCCACCAAGGCGACGAUCGGUAGCCGGACUGAGAGGUUGAACGGCCACAUUGGGACUGAGACACGGCCCAGACUCCUACGGGAGGCAGCAGUGGGGAAUAUUGCACAAUGGGGGAAACCCUGAUGCAGCGACGCCGCGUGGAGGAAGAAGGUCUUCGGAUUGUAAACUCCUGUUGUUGAGGAAGAUAGUGACGGUACUCAACAAGGAAGUGACGGCUAACUACGUG
rnacentral:rRNA from 1 species